CUCCUACGGGGCGCAGCAGUGGGGGAUAUUGCACAAUGGAGGAAACUCUGAUGAAGCGACGCCGCGUGAGGGAAGACGGUCUUCGGAUUGUAAACCUCUGUCUUUGGGGAAGAAUGACGGUACCUCGUGAGGAAGCCCCGGCAAACUACGUGCCAGCAGCCGCGGUAAUACGUAGGGGGCAAGCGUUGUCCGGAAUGACUGGGCGUAAAGGGAGUGUAGGCGGCCUUUUAAGUUAUAUGUGAAAGCCCCCGGCUUAACCGAGGAACUGCAUAUAAAACUGGAGGGCUGGAGUGCAGGAGAG
rnacentral:rRNA from 1 species